GUGAAGAAGGCCUGAGGGUUGUAAAGCACUUUCAAUUGGGAGGAAAACCUGCCGGUCAAUACCCGGCAGCUUGACAUUACCUUUAGAAGAAGCACCGGGUAACUCCGUGCCAGCAGCCGCGGUAAUACGGAGGGUGCGAGCGUUAAUCGGAAUUACUGGGCGUAAAGCGUGCGUAGGCGGUUAUUUAAGUCAGAUGUGAAAGCCCCGGGCUUAACCUGGGAACUGCAUUUUGAUACUGGGUAACUAGAGUUUGGUAGAGGAGAGUGGAAUUUCAGGUGUACCGGUGAAAUGCGUAUAGAUCUGAAGGAACACCAGUGGCUAAGGCGACUCUGUGGACUGAAACUGACCCUGAGGUGCGAAAGC
rnacentral:rRNA from 1 species